rnacentral:rRNA from 23 species
ACUAUGGAGAGUUUGAUCCUGGCUCAGAGUGAACGCUGGCGGCGUGCCUAAUACAUGCAAGUCGAACGAUGAAGCUUCUAGCUUGCUAGAAGUGAAUUAGUGGCGCACGGGUGAGUAAGGUAUAGUUAAUCUGCCCUACACUGGGGGACAACACUUAGAAAUGAGUGCUAAUACCCCAUACUCCUACCUAACAUAAGUUAGGUAGGGAAAGUUUUUCGGUGUAGGAUGAGACUAUAUAGUAUCAGCUAGUUGGUAAGGUAAAGGCUUACCAAGGCUAUGACGCUUAACUGGUCUGAGAGGAUGAUCAGUCACACUGGAACUGAGACACGGUCCAGACUCCUACGGGAGGCAGCAGUAGGGAAUAUUGCGCAAUGGGCGAAAGCCUGACGCAGCAACGCCGCGUGGAGGAUGACACUUUUCGGAGCGUAAACUCCUUUUCUUAGGGAAGAAUUCUGACGGUACCUAAGGAAUAAGCACCGGCUAACUCCGUGCCAGCAGCCGCGGUAAUACGGAGGGUGCAAGCGUUACUCGGAAUCACUGGGCGUAAAGGGCGCGUAGGCGGAUUAUCAAGUCUCUUGUGAAAUCUAAUGGCUUAACCAUUAAACUGCUUGGGAAACUGAUAGUCUAGAGUGAGGGAGAGGCAGAUGGAAUUGGUGGUGUAGGGGUAAAAUCCGUAGAUAUCACCAAGAAUACCCAUUGCGAAGGCGAUCUGCUGGAACUCAACUGACGCUAAGGCGCGAAAGCGUGGGGAGCAAACAGGAUUAGAUACCCUGGUAGUCCACGCCCUAAACGAUGUAUGCUAGUUGUUGGGGUGCUAGUCAUCUCAGUAAUGCAGCUAACGCAUUAAGCAUACCGCCUGGGGAGUACGGUCGCAAGAUUAAAACUCAAAGGAAUAGACGGGGACCCGCACAAGCGGUGGAGCAUGUGGUUUAAUUCGAAGAUACGCGAAGAACCUUACCUAGGCUUGAUAUCCAACAAAUCCAUUAGAGAUAGUGGAGUGCUAGCUUGCUAGAAUGUUGAGACAGGUGCUGCACGGCUGUCGUCAGCUCGUGUCGUGAGAUGUUGGGUUAAGUCCCGCAACGAGCGCAACCCUCGUCCUUAGUUGCUAACAGUUCGGCUGAGCACUCUAAGGAGACUGCCUUCGUAAGGAGGAGGAAGGUGGGGACGACGUCAAGUCAUCAUGGCCCUUACGCCUAGGGCGACACACGUGCUACAAUGGCAUAUACAAUGAGACGCAAUACCGCGAGGUGGAGCAAAUCUAUAAAAUAUGUCCCAGUUCGGAUUGUUCUCUGCAACUCGAGAGCAUGAAGCCGGAAUCGCUAGUAAUCGCAAAUCAGCCAUGUUGCGGUGAAUACGUUCCCGGGUCUUGUACUCACCGCCCGUCACACCAUGGGAGUUGAUUUCACUCGAAGUGGAAAUACUAAAUGAGUUAUCCCCCACAGUGGAAUCAGCGACUGGGGUGAAGUCGUAACAAGGUAACCGUAGGAGAACCUGCGGUUGGAUCACCUCCUUU